UCCCUUUCUGAUGAAUCAUGAUGUCAUUAAUUUUGAUGUUGUGGGGAGUCAGGACUGUUACUUUGAAAAAAUUAGAGUCGUUUAAAGCAAGCACGCGCUUGAAUACAUUAGCAUGGAAUAAUGAAAUAGGACGUUCGAUUCUAUUUUGUUGGUUUCUAGGAUCAACGUAAUGAUUAAUAGGGAUAGUUGGGGGCAUUAGUAUUCAAUUGUCAGAGGUGAAAUUCUUGGAUUUAUUGAAGACUAACUACUGCGAAAGCAUUUGCCAAGGAUGUUUUCAUUAAUCAAGAACGAAGGUUAGGGGAUCGAAGACGAUCAGAUACCGUCGUAGUCUUAACCAUAAACUAUGCCGACUAGGGAUCGGAUGAUGUUAAUUUUUUAAUGACUCAUUCGGCGCCUUACG
rnacentral:rRNA from 1 species